UAUCACCGUACACCCGGCCUCCAUGAUGCUGCGGGCCUGUCAGUUAUCGGGUGUGACCGCUGCCGCUCAGAGUUGUCUGUGUGGAAAGUUUGUCCUUCAUCCACUGCGACCAUGCCGUAGAUACUCUACAUCAAGCAGAUCUGGUGUGACUGCUGGCAAAAUUGUUGGAACUGGCCUUUUGUUUGUUGGUGGAGGUGUUGGUGGCAUUAUCCUGUAUGCCAAAUUGGAUUCCCAUUUCCGAGAAAGUGUAGAGAAGACCAUACCUUACUCUGACAAACUCUUUGAAAUGAUUCUUGGUUCUGCACCUUAUGAUGUUCCAUUGCCAAAGAAGCCGAUUCAUUCUGGUCCACUAAAAAUCUCUAGUGUAUCCGAGGCAAUGAAAGGAUCUAAUCAACCUGCCUCAUACCUCCAGAAACAAAAGGGAGACACUCCAACUUCAGCAACAGCAGGUGAUACACUGUCGGUCCCAACUCCUGCGGUUCAGCAUCAAGAACCCAAAAAUCUGAUCUCCAUGAAGGAAACCCACACCUGCAACUACAGAGGAAGCAUCCUCAUCUUCUGUAAGAGAACGACCACCUGAAGAAGUUGUAGCUCGCCUUGCACAACAGGAAAAACAAGAACAAGUUAAAAUUGAGUCUAUAGCCAAGGACUUAGAAGAUGCACUAAGUCAAACUGCUCGCACCACUCUCCAGGCAAUCGCAGCUCAGACUGCUGCAGUCCAGGCCGUGAACGCACACUCCAGUAUACUGAAAGCAGCAAUGGACAAUGUUGAGAUUGCAGGGGAGAAGAAGUCAGCUCAGUGGCGCACAGUGGAGGGUGCAUUGAAGGAACGCAGAAAGGCAGUAGAUGAAGCCAAAGAAGAGUUAGAGAAGAUGAAAAGUGUAAUUGAAAAUGCCAAGAAAAAGGAAAUUGCUGGGGCCAAACCUCAUAUAACUGCGGCAGAAGGGAAACUGCACAACAUGAUCGUUGAUCUUGAUAAUGUGGUCCAAAAGGUCCAAGCAGUUCAGUCUGAAGCUAAGGUUGUAUCUCAGUAUCAUGAACUGGUGGUCCAAGGUCGGGAUGACUUCAAGCGAGAACUGGACAGUAUUACUCCAGAAGUUCUGCCUGGGUGGAAAGGGAUGAGUAUUUCUGAUCUAGCUGACAAGCUGUCUACUGAUGAUCUGAACUCCCUGAUUGCUCAUGCCCAUCACCGUAUUGACCAGCUAAACAGAGAGCUAGCAGAACAGAAAGCUACGGAGAAGCAGCACAUUGCAUUAGCCUUGGAAAAACAAAAGCUGGAAGAAAAGCAGGCAUUUGACUCUGCGAUGGCCAAAGCAUUAGAACAUCACAGAAGUGAAAUAGUGUCUGAACAGGACAGAAAGGUAGAUGAAGUUCGAGAUGCCAUGGAAAUUGAAACGAGAACACAGCUCCGUCGACAGGCUGCUGCCCACACAGAUCACUUACGUGAUGCCCUUAGGGUCCAAGAACAGGAACUGAAAUAUGAACUUGAGAAGGCCAUGUCUGAGAAACUUGCCGAAAAAGAAUUAGAAUUUCGUCGUCUCAGUCAAGAGCAAGUUGACAACUUUACUCUAGAUAUAAACACAGCCUAUGCCAGACUGAGAGGAAUUGAACAGGCUGUUCAGAGUCAUGCAGUUGCUGAAGAGGAGGCCAGAAAAGCCCACCAACUAUGGCUUUUGGUUGAGGCCUUAAAGUACAGCAUGAAGACAGCAUCUGCAGAUCUGCCCACUGUGCCACUGGGCAGUGCAGUCGAGGCCAUCAAAGUCAUCUGUUCUGAUAAUGAAUUUGUCCAGGCUCUAACCGCAGCUAUACCUCCAGAGUCCCUGACCCGUGGGGUGUACAGUGAAGAGACCCUUAGAGCCUGUUUCUAUGCUGUCCAAAAACCGGCCCGAAGAGUAGCGAUGAUCGAUGAAACCAGAAAUAGCUUGUACCAGUACUUCCUCUCCUACCUGCAGUCCCUGCUCUUAUUCCCACCUAAGCAGCUGAAGCCGCCACCGGAGCUCUGCGCUGAGGUUAUGAGCACAUUUAAGUUAUUGUCGUAUGCCUCCUAUUGCAUUGAGCAUGGCGAUCUGGAGCUGGCAGCAAAGUUUGUCAAUCAGCUGAAAGGGGAGUCCAGACGAGUAGCACAGGACUGGCUGCACGAAGCCCGAAUGACCCUAGAAAGGAAACAGAUAGUGGAGAUCCUGACCGCAUAUGCCAGUGCCGUAGGUAUAGGAACCACUCAAGUGCAGCAAGAGUAA